CAACAAGGUUGCGUGAAAGACCACACUCCACAGUGGGCUACACCACUUAGUAUGGUUCAUUACUGUAUUGUGGCCUACGUU